AGGACGAACGCUGGCGGCGUGCUUAACACAUGCAAGUCGAGCGGUAAGGCCUUUCGGGGUACACGAGCGGCGAACGGGUGAGUAACACGUGGGUGAUCUGCCCUGCACUCUGGGAUAAGCCUGGGAAACUGGGUCUAAUACCGGAUAUGACCUGCUCUCGCAGUGGGGGGUGGGUGGAAAGAUUUAUCGGUGCAGGAUGGGCCCGCGGCCUAUCAGCUUGUUGGUGGGUAAUGGCCUACCAAGGCGACGACGGGUAGCCGACCUGAGAGGGUGACCGGCCACACUGGGACUGAGACACGGCCCAGACUCCUACGGAGGCAGCAGUGGGAAUAUUGCACAAUGGGCGAAAGCCUGAUGACAGCGACGCCGCGUGAGGAUGAAGGCCGUGGUUACGUAAACCGUCUUACGAGACGAGGACGGAAGACGAC
rnacentral:rRNA from 1 species